rnacentral:rRNA from 1 species
GACGAACGCUGGCGGCGUGCCUGACACAUGCAAGUCGGACGGUUCUUGUAUCUUCAAGCUUGCUUGCAGGUGCAAGGAUAGUGGCGGACGGGUGAGUAACGCGUGAACAUCUACCCAUUGGAGGGGGACAACCCGUCGAAAGGCGGGCUAAUACCGCGUAAGCCGCGAGGUGAGAGGCUGCCUAUUGGUGGCCGCCGAUGGAUGGGUUCGCGUCCUAUCAGCUGGUUGGUGGGGUAACGGCCUACCAAGGCGAAGACGGGUAGCCGGUCUGAGAGGAUGGCCGGCCACACUGGAACUGAGACACGGUCCAGACUCCUACGGGAGGCAGCAGUGGGGAAUAUUGGGCAAUGGGGGAGACCCUGACCCAGCGACGCCGCGUGAGGGAUGAAGGUUUUCGGAUCGUAAACCUCUGUUGUACGGGAAGAAGGAUGUGACGGUACCGUACGAGAAAGCCCGGCAAACUACGUG